rnacentral:misc_RNA from 1 species
GAUGAAGAACGUAGCGAAAUGCGAUAAGUAAUGUGAAUUGCAGAAUUCAGUGAAUCAUCGAAUCUUUGAACGCACCUUGCGCCCUUUGGCUAUUCUGAAGGGCAUGCCUGCUUGAGUAUCAUGAACACCUCAACUCUCAUGGUUUGCCAUGAUGAGCUUGGACUUUGGGGGUCUUGCUGGCCUACGGUCGGCUCCUCUCAAAUGAAUCAGCUUGCCAGUGUUUGGUGGCAUCACGGGUGUGAUAACUAUCUACGCUUGUGGUUUCCCGCCAGGUAACCUUCAGUGAUGGAGGUUCGCUGGGGCUCAUAAAUGUCCCUCCACAGUGAGGACAGCUUUUGAACGUUUGAUCUCAAAUCAGGUAGGACUACCCGCUGAACUUAAGCAUAUCAAUAAGCGGAGGA